GACGGCGGGUGCAAUCGUUGUUCGGAAUCACUGGGCGUAAAGCGCGUGUAGGCGGUUUGAUAAGCCGAAUGUGAAAGCCCGAGGCUCAACCAUGGAAGUGCAUUCGAAACUGUCAGGCUUGAGUACGGCAGAGGGAACUGGAAUUCCUGGUGUAGAGGUGAAAUUCGUAGAUAUCAGGAGGAACACCGUUGGCGAAGGCGGCUUCCUGGACCGAUACUGACGCGGAGACGCGAAAGCGUGGGGAGCAAACAGU
rnacentral:rRNA from 1 species